rnacentral:rRNA from 1 species
AUUGAACGCUGGCGGCAUGCUUUACACAUGCAAGUCGAACGGCAGCGCGGGGCAACCUGGCGGCGAGUGGCGAACGGGUGAGUAAUAUAUCGGAACGUACCCAGAAGUGGGGGAUAACGUAGCGAAAGUUACGCUAAUACCGCAUACGAUCUACGGAUGAAAGUAGGGGACCGCAAGGCCUUAUGCUUUUGGAGCGGCCGAUAUCUGAUUAGCUAGUUGGUGAGGUAAAGGCUCACCAAGGCGACGAUCAGUAGCUGGUCUGAGAGGACGACCAGCCACACUGGAACUGAGACACGGUCCAGACUCCUACGGGAGGCAGCAGUGGGAAUUUUGGACAAUGGGCGCAAGCCUGAUCCAGCAAUGCCGCGUGAGUGAAGAAGGCCUUCGGGUUGUAAAGCUCUUUUGUCAGGGAAGAAACGGUAGAGGCUAAUAUCCUUUGCUAAUGACGGUACCUGAAGAAUAAGCACCGGCUAACUACGUG